rnacentral:rRNA from 1 species
GUAUGGGACAAGCCCUGGAAACGGGGUCUAAUACCGGAUAACACUUCCACUCUCCUGAGUGGUGGUUAAAAGCUCCGGCGGUGAAGGAUGAGCCCGCGGCCUAUCAGCUUGUUGGUGAGGUAAUGGCUCACCAAGGCGACGACGGGUAGCCGGCCUGAGAGGGCGACCGGCCACACUGGGACUGAGACACGGCCCAGACUCCUACGGGAGGCAGCAGUGGGGAAUAUUGCACAAUGGGCGAAAGCCUGAUGCAGCGACGCCGCGUGAGGGAUGACGGCCUUCGGGUUGUAAACCUCUUUCAGCAGGGAAGAAGCGAAAGUGACGGUACCUGCAGAAGAAGCGCCGGCUAACUACGUGCCAGCAGCCGCGGUAAUACGUAGGGCGCAAGCGUUGUCCGGAAUUAUUGGGCGUAAAGAGCUCGUAGGCGGCUUGUCACGUCGGGUGUGAAAGCCCGGGGCUUAACCCCGGGUCUGCAUUCGAUACGGGCUAGCUAGAGUGUGGUAGGGGAGAUCGGAAUUCCUGGUGUAGCGGUGAAAUGCGCAGAUAUCAGGAGGAACACCGGUGGCGAAGGCGGAUCUCUGGGCCAUUACUGACGCUGAGGAGCGAAAGCGUGGGGAGCGAACAGGAUUAGAUACCCUGGUAGUCCACGCCGUAAACGGUGGGA